AACUUCAUGCCUGUCAGCAUCGGCAGAAAUAGGGAAAGAUAAUAGAGGCGGCGCAUGGGCCAAUGACACUUGUUGGGGAUAAUAAAGGUAAGUCAUGAACAAUCUUCAGUCUGAGUACUGGAAACAACUUCUGGCUUAUCACUUGGGAUACCGAGAAUGUUUUAUGCUUACAUGCGUAUGUUUGAAUUUUUCAAUGGCGUAAUGCUCCAUGAAAAUGG
rnacentral:lncRNA from 1 species